UUUUUUUUUUUUUUUUUUUUUAAGAUUUUUCUUUAAUUUACUCAUGAGAGCCAGAGAGAGGCAAAGACAUGGGCAGAGAGAAGCAGGCUCCCUGCGGGGAGUUUGAAGCGGGACUCGAACCCAGGACCCUGGGAUCAAGACCUGAGCCCAAGGCGGACGUUCAACCACUGAAUCACCCAGGCGUCCCUGGAUGUCCUUAUUAAGCACCUCCUUGUGCUCGACCUCUGGACAGGACUCAGUGUGGGGGUGGGGAGUGUGGGAGGGGUGGAAGGAGAUCAAAUUGGGUUCCUCCUCUAAGCCCAGGCUUGGGUUGGCAUCCCAGCCCUGCCAUUGGCUUGGCCUCGGCGUCCGCAUUCAUUCAUUCUUGCAUUCCACACGCAUUCCCCCUGCGCCGCCUCUGUUCCCCGCCCUGUGCGGGGCAGUGCUGGCGACUCAGCGGUGACCGUUGAUUGACAACCAUAGCGCCCUCCUGUCCUCCUGGAGCGGUCCCCGUCCAGUGGUCCAGUGGGAGAGACAGACUGGUUCCCCAACAGUGACCACCCGGAGAGGGCAAGGCUGGAAUGGGAGACCCCACGAUGGCCGGGGAGAGGGGAGAGGCCGCCCAGCCCAGCCCCAGGGUAGGGAAGGGCUUCCUGGAGGAAGGGACAUCUGAGCAGAGACCUGGUCGAUGAGUUAGUAUUAGUCAUUUCCUGAAAGAACAGUAUCACACUGUUCUAACUUGCGGCUCUCUGGUUACUAAGGAGAGAGAACAUCUUUUUUUUAGUUUAUUGGUCUUAGGUAGUUUGUCUUCUGUGGAUGGCUUGCUCAUAUCCUUUGCACAGUUUUUUAAAUGGGGUUGUAUGCCUUUUUUUUUUCUUUUUUCUUUUUUUUUUUUUUUGUUAGUAUUUAUUUGUAAGGAUACUUUACGGAUUCCGAUUCAAAUUCUUAGUUGUGUGUAUUUCCAGUGUUCCCUCCUAGUUUGUACUUUGUACUUUAACUAUUUAUGUCACAGAGAAAUUCUUAGUGUUUAUUCACACCACUUAUCAGUCUGUUCAUCCUGACUUUGGCUUUUGGUGUAUUGUUUGAGACCUGCAGUACCCCAAGGUCAUAAAUAUAUCCUGUAAUUACUUUUAGUACUUUCCGACUCUGGAUUUUGUUUGUCUUUAUACAAGACUUAUUUUUGAAACUGCACGAUGGGAGGAAUUUAUGAUGAAUGUAGCCAAUUGUACUCAAACCAUUUAUUUUAAAAAUCCAUCUUUUCACUAGUUUUGAUGAACCAAAUUCUCAUAUACAGGCAUCUAUUUCUGACAUUUCUAUUAAAGUGGGGGUUUUGGUUUUGUUUUUUUAGAUUUUACUUAUUUAUUCAUGAGAGACCCAGAGAAAGAAGUAGGGACAUGGGUACAGGGAGAAGCAGGCUCCCUGUCUGACUCGAUCCCAGGAACUCAGGACCAUGAGCUGAGCCAAAGGCAGACGCUCAACCACUGAGCCACCCAGGGGCCCCUCUAUUAAGUUUUAUUAAUCUUUAUAUCUGUUCCUUGCCUCCAUGCUACACUGUUUUUUUUUUUUCAUGUUGCCCUGUUCAAAUAUUUUAUUUGGAUAUGUUUUGUGAUCACACCAGGCAAGUCUCCUCUCUGUUCAGUUUCAAAUCUGCCUUUACCAUUCUUCCAACCUUUUCUCUUCUAGAUGGAUUUUAGCAGCUGUUUUUCCACUUCCAUGAAGAAUCCUAUUGAGAUUGAUAUUGGAGUUUCAAUGAAUUGAUGGGUUAAUUCAAAGAAGUUUGAUAUCUUUUUAAAAAGAUUUUAUUUAUUUAUUUGACAUACAGGGAGAGAGAGAGCACAAGCAGGGGGAACAGCAGAGGGAGAGGGAGAAGCAGGCUCUCCACCUAGCAGGGAGCCAUGCAGGACUCGAUCCCAGGACCCUGGUCAUAAGCUGAGCUAAAAGCAGACACUUAACCGAUUGAGCCACCCAGGCACCCUAACAUCUUUUUCAUAUACAUGAAUAUAUGGAUUGCCUUUAUCUCUCCAAUGAUUCCAGCUUUUGUUAGGAACCUACUAUUAAAAGUUUUUUGUAAAUAAUUUUUAUUUGCACAACUGAUUCAUAAAUACAUUUUUGUACUAGUCUUCUAGGAGAGCUAUAACAAAGUACCCAAAACUGGGUGACUUAGUUCCCAGAAAUGAAUUGUCUCAUGGUUCUGGAGGCUAGAGGUCCAAAGCCAAGGUGUUGAAAGGGCUGUGUUCCCUCCGAAUGCACAAGGGAAGGAUCUGUUGCGGGCCCCUCUCUUAGCUGCUGGUAGUGUCAGGAGUUUCUUGGCUUGUAGAUGACCACCUUCUCCCUGUGUGGUGGUCUUUUCUCUGUGUGUGUCUAUCUCUGUGUCUAAACUCCCCUGUUUCAUAAAGACACCAGUCAUAUUGGAUUGGGGCCCAUGCUAAUGACCUCAUUUUAAUUUGAUUAUCUCUGUAAAGACCUUAUUUCCAAAUAAGGUCACAAUUUGAAGUACCAUGGUUAGGACUCCAAGGUAUCUUUUUUGGAGGACAGGAGUUAACCCACAAUUCUGUUACUUUUUAUAAACUUCUUCCUUCUAGAUUCAUUUGACUACUUGCUACAGAGUCUAUUCACUUCUAAUUCUUUCAGAGAGCAUCCUGGCUAAUCAUGUUCUGAGUCUUGCUCAUCUCAAAAUGCCUUCAUUUCAUCCUCACAAUUGGAAUCUCCUUGGGGUACCUGGGAGGGUCAAUUGGUAGAGUGUGUAACUCUUGAUCUUGGGGUGGUGAGUUUGAACCCCGUGUUGGGUGCAGAAAUUACUUAAAAA
rnacentral:lncRNA from 1 species